rnacentral:rRNA from 1 species
UUAUGCUAAUAAGAGCGUAUGGUGGAUGCCUUGGCACUAAGAGCCGAUGAAAGACGUGAUAAGCUGCGAAAAGCUUCGGGGAGGAGCAAAUAUCCUAUGAUCCGGAGAUCUCUGAAUGGGGAAACCCACCUGAGCAAACCUCAGGUAUCCUAACGCCAAUACAUAACGUUAGGAGGGGAACCCGGUGAACUGAAACAUCUAAGUAGCCGGAGGAAGAGAAAACAACAUGUGAUUCUGGAAGUAGCGGCGAGCGAAACCGGAAGAGCCCAAACCGGAGUGCGUGCACUCCGGGGUUCGGACCGCGGAAUUGAUCCAAAAGACUUAACAGAACGGCCUGGGAAGGCCGGCCAGAGAGGGUGAAAGCCCCGUAAGUGAAAGGUCGAUUGGCAUGGCGGUAUCCAGAGUAGGUCGAGACACGUGGAACCUUGACUGAAUAUGCGGGGACCACCCCGUAAGGCUAAAUACUCCUUAGUGACCGAUAGCGCAUAGUACUGUGAAGGAAAGGUGAAAAGGACCCCGGGAGGGGAGUGAAAAAGAACCUGAAACCAUAUGUUUACAAGCUGUGGAACCACUUUAAAUGUGGAACCGCGUACUUUUUGUAGAACGGUCCGGCGAGUUACGCUGGCUGGCGAGGUUAAGUCCUUAAGGGAUGGAGCCGAAGGGAAACCAAGUCUGAAUAGGGCGAAGAGUCAGUCGGAGUAGACCCGAAACCGGGUGACCUAUCCAUGUCCAGGAUGAAGUUGCCGUAAAAGGCAAUGGAGGUCCGAACCCACAUCCGUUGAAAAGGGUGGGGAUGAGGUGUGGAUAGGGGAGAAAUUCCAAUCGAACCCGGAGAUAGCUGGUUCUCCUCGAAAUAGCUUUAGGGCUAGCCUCAUACAAGUCUUGCGGAGGUAGAGCACUGAAUUUCCUAGGGGGCGUCAAAGCUUACCGAAGAAUAUCAAACUCCGAAUGCCGCGUAGAUGGUGUAUGGGAGUCAGACUGCACGAGAUAAGUUGGGUAGUCAAAAGGGAAAGAGCCCAGACCUGCAGCUAAGGUCCCAAAAUGUGUGUUAAGUGGAAAAGGAUGUGGGAUUUCGAAGACAACUAGGAUGUUGGCUCAGAAGCAGCCAUACAUUCAAAGAGUGCGUAAUAGCUCACUAGUCGAGAGGUCCUGCGCCGAAAAUGUCCGGGGCUGAAACACACUACCGAAGCUCAGGAAUGUACUUGUACAUUGGUAGAGGAGCAUUGUAUACGGGAAGAAGCAGUACCGAUAAGGAGCUGUGGACUGUAUAGAAGAGAGAAUGCCGGAAUGAGUAGCGAGAGGAAGGUGAGAAUCCUUCCGGCCGAAUAUCUAAGGUUUCCAGAGUAAAGCUGAUCUGCUCUGGGUAAGUCGGGGCCUAAGGCCAGGUCGAAAGACGUAACCGAUGGACAACAGGUUGAAAUUCCUGUACCGCGAUAUAACAGAACUGUGGGGACACGUGUGGAGAGCACAAGCCGGGAAUGGAAAGCCCGGCGCAAGCAAGGUAGGAGUCGUACUGGCAAAUCCGUACGGCAAUCCGAAGAUGUGAUGCGUACCGAAUUAAGAGUAGGGAAGAGUGUGAGCCAUGCGUCAAGAAAAGCCGCUAUUGUUUGUAUCGCGCCCGUACCGUAAACCGACACAGGUGGAUGAGGAGAGAAUCCUAAGGCCGACGGGAGAAGCAUUGUUAAGGAACUCGGCAAAAUGACUCCGUAACUUCGGGAGAAGGAGUGCCACUGAGAGGUGGCCGCAGAGAAUUGGCCCAAGCAACUGUUUAGCAAAAACACAGGUCUAUGCAAAACCGAAAGGUGAAGUAUAUGGGCUGACGCCUGCCCGGUGCUGGAAGGUUAAGGGGAGAGGUUAGCGCAAGCGAAGCUUUGAACUUAAGCCCCAGUAAACGGCGGCCGUAACUAUAACGGUCCUAAGGUAGCGAAAUUCCUUGUCGGGUAAGUUCCGACCCGCACGAAAGGCGUAAUGAUUUGGGCACUGUCUCAACAAUGCACCCGGUGAAAUUGAAAUACCAGUGAAGAUGCUGGUUACCUGCGCCAGGACGGAAAGACCCCAUGGAGCUUUACUCCAGCUUGAUACUGGGAUUCGGUAUUGCAUGUACAG